GCUAAACACUUUUCUCGCAUCAUUAGCUACUUGGUAUGACACUGACCAGAUAAUUAAGACAGAUAAGAAUGCUGAGGUUCUAAGAAGACAAGAAGCCCAAGGGCCCAGGCUUGUGGGGCCCUGUGUCUGGUUGUCUCUGAAACCCAUGUUCUGUCCAUGAAAGCACACUGUAUCACAUUAACAACCCUGUGGUUAUUGCUUGUUUCAAUUUGCAAUGCAGCAAUUUAGUCAUUUUAAAUUAAUCCUUGAAAAAUCACCAAGAGAUUAAAAUGCAAAUUUCAACAUGG